CGAACGAAGCCUUCGGGCUUAGUGGCGGACGGGUGAGUAACGCGUGGGAAUAUGCCUUUCGGUGCGGAAUAGCCUUGGGGAACUGAGAGUAAUACCGCAUACGCCCUUUGGGGGAAAGAUUUAUCGCCGAAAGAUUAGCCCGCGUUGGAUUAGGUAGUUGGUGGGGUAAUGGCCUACCAAGCCGACGAUCCAUAGCUGGUUUGAGAGGAUGAUCAGCCACACUGGGACUGAGACACGGCCCAG
rnacentral:rRNA from 1 species